rnacentral:rRNA from 1 species
UCGGUAGAGGGGUUUUGAUUAUCUCUCUGCCUGAGNUAACGCGUUAAGUGCCCCGCCUGGGGAGUACGGCCGCAAGGCUAAAACUCAAAAGAAUUGACGGGGGCUCGCACAAGCGGUGGAGCAUGUGGCUUAAUUCGAUGCAACACGAAGAACCUUACCGGGGCUUGACAUGGUAGAAGUAGGAGCCCGAAAGGGUAACGAACGGUAUCCAGUCCGUAGCUAUCACAGGUGUUGCAUGGCNGUCGUCAGCUCGUNUCGUGAGACGUUGGGUUAAGUCCCCUAACGAGCGAAACCCUUGUCUUUAGUNGCCAACAGGUCAAGCUGGGCACUCUAAAGAGNCUGCUGUNGUCAAGACGGAGGAAGGUGGGGAUGACGUCAAGUCAUCAUGGCCCUUAUGUCCCGGGCUGCACACGUGNUACAAUGGUCGGUACAAAGGGAUGCCAAGUCGCAAGACGGAGCGAAACCCAAAUAAAGCCGAUCCCAGUUCAGAUUGGAGGCUGAAMCCCGCCUCCANGAAGUAGGAAUCGCUAGUAAUCGCGGAUCAGNUAUGCCGCGGUGAAUAUGUUCCCGAGCCUUGUACACNCCGCCCGUCAAGCCACCCAAGCAAGAUGCACCCGAAGCCACUGNCCUAACCCGCAAGGGACGGAAGUGUNUAAGGUGUGUUUUGUGAGGAGGANUAAGUCGUAACAAGGUAACCGUA